CCCCAUUUUACACGAGCGCACUAAACACAUUGAUGUUAGACUCCACUUCAUUAGAGAUAUAGUAUCUCAAGAGGAUGUAAUACUUGAAAAGGUCCACACACACUACAACCCUUCCGAUAUGGGCAUGAAGGUACUGCAACUGGCAAAGUUUAGAAGUUGCAAGGAACUUCUAAACAUUGGUACAGGUAAAUGAUUUCCAAUUUUAUUGGUUUUUCGUUAGAGGUGUUACUAAUAGGAAACUUUCUUUUUUGCAGGUCUUUUGACAUCAAAGUGGAGGUUGUUGGACAUAUUGUUGUCAAAUGACCUCUCGGGCGAUGAUGUAAACCAUUUAUUAAUUAUCAGUCAACGAUUGCGAUAUGACUAAGCAAUAAAUCAAUACCAAAUUAUAACGACCCGACCCAAGAAGAGAUUUGACCAUUUGAAGCAACCAAUUAAGUUGUGUUGCUCAUAAGCCAUGUUUUUACCUAUUUGGAUGGCUAGCUAGUUUUUGAGGUCCACACUGUUGUCCACUUACAUGUUAUUGGACCUUGACCCAUUACCUAAAACCUAACUUACGAUAAUUUGAGACUUGGUCCAAUAUAUUCUCUCUACUCUUCACGCCACUAUGUAAGAAAUAAGACUUGGUGUCUCUUUCUUCUCCCUGCGUGACCUCUCUCGACCUUCACCACUUCCAUCUUCUGUGAUUCUUUUUAAGGCAUAUAUCUUGGUGAUAUUUCCCUCCUUUGUGGUGUUCUUGAAGUGGCAAAAAGCUUAGCAACCAUAGGCGAAACCUUUGUGGUGUUCUUGGGUCGUUUGCUUUGGUAUUGAUUCGAUUUCUUGGUGAACUGAGCUUGUAUAUCGCCUUGGUGGUUGAUGAUUCCUCUCCCUUACAAAUGUCCCCUCCUAGAAGAUUUAUCACCACUUUCUUCUUCCAUGGAUUGGGCAUCAUCUUUUAGGGAACUCUGGGACAGAACUCGAUUUGGAAGCUUUAUUCUUAAUUAUUUCCUCUCUGAACCAAUUAGGUCCCAAAGCCUUUCUAGGCCACUUAGAAUAACUGAAAACACCAAUGCAUCCCCAUUGAAAGCUACUGUAGGAUGAAAUGCAGAGCCGGUGCCGAAACAAAAGAUGCACCUAUUAUUGGGUCUGUUGGUUGAAAAGUUGUCCCAGUUGGAAACAGUGGUGUAGAAUGUCCAGAUGCCGGAGAAGGCAUGCAACCACUGAAUGGUCAAGAUCUGAAGCAGCAGGAGCUCAAGUGUAGUUUGAAGGUAUAUCUGCAACAGUAUCCACAGCUCUCGAAGGACCUCCAGAAAAUGAGCACGAUGUUGCAAAUGUGGCUCCCGAUUCCGAUUAAAAUGAGGUUCAAAAUAUUGGAAUAUUCUAAUAUGGGCUUUACAUUUGAUUAUUAAUUUUACGGGUUAGAUGUAUGACUUAUAAUGAUAUUUAUGAUUAGGCCAAUUAUGUGAAGUAAUCAAUUUGGGCCAUUUUACACCUUACGGGCUUUAUUUGAUAUAAUGUGGUAUUUUUGAGUAUGUGGGCCAGAAUUAUGUGUAAACUCUAAUUAGGGUUCAAGUCGAUAAUGUGACGACUAAAUAAAUUCCUAUAUAAAAGCUAGGUCUCCUCUCCUCUCCAUAUUAUUUUAUUAGCCUGUCCCAUUGACGACUAAUACUUUGUGAG
rnacentral:lncRNA from 1 species